GGUUAAGCCUGUGUUGACAUUGCUGUGAAUGUUUACGUGAAUGUUAAACAGUUUUAAGACACAUUUCAUGAGAAACAUAUUUCUGAUUCUAAGAAUAUGAAGUAAAACCAUCACUUUAGCUCAAGACACUGAUAAUUUUGACUGGACUAAAGCAAGCUAUUGUGUCAGCCCUUAUCAGGUCUAAAUCAUGGGGAUGUAACAUGAAUCGAUAUAGCAAGAUAACUUCUGAAAGUUUAUGAGAAAAGAGGAGACUUUGACACACAUACACAGAUCUUUAAUCUGUGGAACAAACAUUGUGCAACAACAACUUGUUGUAAUGUGAAACACCUCUGCAUUGAAAUAAGUGUAACAAAUUAAUGUCAACUAAGUUGUUUUCUAAGAUUAAUAUAUAUUGUUAUUGACCCGUAUUUAAUUUCCAGUGGUUAAAUUCUGUAUUUUAGAUCAAAGUAUCAGUCUUAUGUUGUGUCUUGAGGGGUGUUGGAUUGUAUGACGUGAGAACUGCAAUAAUCUGAAGCUGGACAUGGUGUUUGAGUAAAUGCAGGUGAGAGUUCAACCACGUGCUCCAGUUAUUCUGGGCACCAAGGUCAUUUAGUCAUACCACCAGUCACACCACACCUGCCCUCACUUAUCAUUGCCGCAGCAAGUCUGGAGAUAUGCCAGAAAUAUUAACAGGGCUACAAUAUCAAAAUUGUACAUAGCAACAACUAUAUAUAGGCCAGACUUGUCUAUGAAAUUGGGUCCUGCUUGUGACAUCUCCCCCCAAAAAUUUCUUUAAUUAAUAAAAAAUAAAAAAAACAUUCAAAAUAUUUUUGUUUAUUUAAAAAAGUACAUACAGGAAAACUGUACAAUUACAUGAAUCAACAUAUCAAAGAUAGCAGACUGAACACAGCAGUGCAGAUCACCUCAAGAUAAAAACGUAGUAUUCAAUAUCUUUGAAUAUUAGCACUUCAAGUACUGGUGGGUAAUAACAUUCAAUCUGGAUAACGACACAAAACAAAUCAUAUGGCUAGAGAAAUGUAUCGACAAAUAUUAGGAAAACAAGCAAAACCCAAACAUGACGGAGAGUAAACAAGGAGAACCAAUCUCCAAAAGAAAACGUGAGUCCUCGAUGGAUACAGACGACUUAAGCUUUUCACCACCGGGAAUCUGUUAAAAUCAAUCAAUGACAAACUGGGAAUACUUGAACUAAUCAGUAAAGAUAUAAAAUAAUUGUAGGCGAGCCUACAAAACAAACAAACAAGCUAAAAGGGACAGUCAAGAAGAUUGAAAUGGACGUUAAUGAACUUAAAAAGGAGAAAAGGUGUUCACUAGCACACGGUAUAUUUCCCAGAGUGGCUCGGUUGUGGGCGUGCUGGCAGCAUAUAGCACGUUUGAUUGUGCGUCAAUAAUUCAGCAUAGCAAAUUGUAUGAAGGUCUGGCUAUUAAAUGGGUAAAUAGUUUAAUCCUUUCUCAAUUUCAGGAAUUUAUUCACAGGUCAAUAAUAAUAUGCUUUAAAAUGCUCUGGUGACAAACACACUUUGUUGCCCUGUUUCCAAUCGUCCACAUGGCUGAAUCGUCCAUAUGGCUGGGAGAACCUAUUCAAGCAAGUAAAUACAUUUUGAAAAUGUAAAAAAUAAAAUGAUGCAUUAAAUAUCACCAGCUGCCUAACUUCAUAUUAGCUAGGUAUCUUGAUGUAUUUAUCACUGUAAAAAAAAAAACUCCAAAUGCAUUUGUAGGUAGCUAGCUAGCUGUCAAAGUGAGAGAGUAGGCUAUUCUGGAUAGGAUAGUUAUUUUGUGUAGUUUCAGUCCAUAGAAGUGAUGACGGAGAUAAUAGUAACAUAAUAUUCAGUGCAGUCUAAUUUGAGUAUGAUGAAGUCAUAAGUGAUGAUGUUUCUUGUGAGUUCUUUGGUCCUCAGAUACAGAGAGCUGUGAAAGCCUGUCUGCAGACGAAGAGGUCCCAAUGAAGAGCAGUGGUUCUUAGUCCUGGGGACUCAAAGAGAUACCUUUUAACUGGAGAUCCCUUCAAAAAGAUUGCCAACAGUUACCGUGUAGAGCACUGCCAGAUUGGGUGACCAGGGCCAUCUCGGACUGCCUCCUGGGGAAUUCAGGCGUGUGAAGGCGAUCUGUGUCCUGCAUAACUUCAUACGAAUGGACACGAGGACCAGGAGGGGAUCUGCAGCUCGUCGCCGUGUGCCAGAGGAGAAGUCUGCUGCUCUGCAGGAUGUUUCAAGGAUGGGGUCGAACAACGCAGGAAGAGAGGCAAUCUGUGUGCGGGAGAUCUUCACCUCCUACUUCUUUGAAGAGGGUGCUGUUCCCUGGCAACACCAUAGACUACACUAUGCACAACCAACGGCUCUUCCAUUUACUUAGCUAUGUCAACUGCAGUUAUUCAAUUCCCAGUUUCUUUCCCUUUGAUUUCUGCUUCUCGGGUGAGGGUACUGUUUAGGUAAUGGUGUGAUGUCUGUACAGAAACAAAACAGGCUAUUUUAAGUCACUGUUGGGGUUUGUUUCCUUAUUCCUUGUCAUUCAUUGGCUCAUUGGUGAAAUUAGCAUUUUGACAAUAUCUUUAAUUAAAUCAUUCAAAAACCUUUAUUAAUGCAAUUGCAGACAGAAGUUGACAACAGGAACAUAACGCAUGUUUCCGAGUAAGUUCUGCAACAUUUAAAAGGUCCCAAGUUAUUUUAUUAAACCCGAAGUCCAGCCCUUGUGAUGUCACUGUACACGUCAUUACCUUCUACGCUUCAGACCAAGCCCAUGCAUUCACAGCUACAUAAACUUGCAAGAGAGAUACAAUAGUUCCAGUGUUUCUAAGGCCUAGGCAAUAAAUGUCAACUCCCCAAAGUUGA